GCAGUAAUGGCUCAGUGGUAACCGUUUUGACUUUCACCCAGAAGGUCAAGGGUUCGAUUCCACGUGGUGGCA